UCGCACGGGAAUUACUUUAUUGAAACUUCGGUCGAUUUAAUUUAAUUCUAGUGGCGGACGGGUGAGUAACGCGUGGGUAACCUGCCUUAUACAGGGGGAUAACAGUCAGAAAUGGCUGCUAAUACCGCAUAAGCGCACAGAGCUGCAUGGCUCAGUGUGAAAAACUCCGGUGGUAUAAGAUGGACCCGCGUUGGAUUAGCUGGUUGGUGGGGUAACGGCCCACCAAGGCGACGAUCCAUAGCCGGCCUGAGAGGGUGAACGGCCACAUUGGGACUGAGACACGGCCCAGACUCCUACGGGAGGCAGCAGUGGGGAAUAUUGCACAAUGGGGGAAACCCUGAUGCAGCGACGCCCCGUGAAGGAAGAAGUAUCUCGGUAUGUAAACUUCUAUCAACAGG
rnacentral:rRNA from 1 species